GAGACAUAUAGGCAUCAAUCAUUUUUCGUAAGGACUUGAAAUAAAAGACAAUUUCAUUCAUUCUAUUAUCACGGAUAUAAGAGAAUUCAUUACAUACUCCCAUUUCCUUCAACAUUUUAUCGAUAAUUAUGCACUGAGAGAAAGAAAAACGAAAAACGUACCACCGUAACCGGGGCACCAUGAAGUAUAAAAAAGAGUUUCCUGGAUAUAUAGAUUUUGGUAAUGGAACAAAACCUUCUGAAUCUAUAUCUGAGCAAGCAAAGCUUUAUUUCUUAUGGCAACAUAUUCUUAUUUAUUUAUCAGAAAUUCAUAUAAAAAUAAUGCAAUGACUUUAAAAAUAUCCUAUCAAUUAUUUACUAUUUUAAGCCUUGAUAU